ensembl:lncRNA
UCUCUCUCUCUCUCUCUCUCUCUCACACACACACACACACACACACACAGCAGCAUCAGCAAGUGAACAGGGGCUGUUAACAGCAUGUUUCUAGGUCAGUCAAGCAGCCUGGGAGCUGCUAAAUUUGAAUCCACCAAUCAGAGAGGCUGUGUACUUUUUCCCGCCAAAACAGGUGCACCUGUUUUUACACACACGCAGCACAGAGACAGGAUUUGUGCUGUCUAUUUUUCAUAGUGAGGAUUCCCCUCAAACAAAUGGCUAUAAUUUCCUAACCGUAGGGGCUAGAACAGUCAUUCUUACACCGUUU